UGGGGAAUAUUGGACAAUGGGCGCAAGCCUGAUCCAGCCAUGCCGCGUGAGUGACGAAGGUCUUCGGAUUGUAAAGCUCUUUUUAGCAGGGAAGAUAAUGACGGUACCUGCAGAAUAAGCCCCGGCUAACUUCGUGCCAGCAGCCGCGGUAAUACGAAGGGGGCUAGCGUUGUUCGGAAUUACUGGGCGUAAAGCGCACGUAGGCGGUGUUUCAAGUCAGUUGUGAAAUCUCCGAGCUUAACUCGGAACGGUCAACUGAUACUGUCACACUAGAGUACAGAAGGGGCAAUCGGAAUUCUUGGUGUAGCGGUGAAAUGCGUAGAUAUCAAGAGGAACACCUGAGGCGAAGGCGGGUUGCUGGGCUGAUACUGACGCUGAGGCGCGAAAGCUAGGGUAGCAAACGGGAUUAGAUACCCCCGUAGUCCCUGAGCGGGCUGGCAAGGCGCAU
rnacentral:rRNA from 1 species